CCCUAAGCCCGAUUGUACGGAUGCCGUUUUUAUCAAAACAUUUUUAUACCCUCCAAAAUUUUAAAACGGCAGGAGGAAAAGCGGGGCUGCAG
rnacentral:sRNA from 1 species